rnacentral:rRNA from 1 species
AAUUUUUCUCAAUGGGCGCAAGCCUGAAGGAGCGACGCCGCGUGGGGGAUGAAGGGUUUCGAUCCGUAAACCCCUGUCAUUCGUGAACAAUGCUUCAUCAUGAAAAAUGGUGAAGUUGAUAGUAGCGGAAGAGGAAGGGACGGCUAACUCUGUGCCAGCAGCCGCGGUAAGACAGAGGAGCCAAGCGUUGUCCGGAUUGACUGGGCGUAAAGCGCACGCAGGCGGUCUGGCGCGUGGGGUGUGAAAUCUGGCCGCUUAACGGCCAGGCGCCAUCCCAUACGGCCGGACUGGAGCCUUGCAGAGGGCGGUGGAAUUGCCGGUGUAGUGGUGAAAUGCGUAGAGAUCGGCAGGAACACCCAGGGGGAAACCAGCCGCCUGGGCAAGCGCUGACGCUGAGGUGCGAGAGCGUGGGGAGCGAAC